rnacentral:rRNA from 1 species
CGCAAGCCUGACGGAGCAACGCCGCGUGUGGGAAGAAGGCUCUUGGGCUGUCAACCACUUUUCUCAGGGAAGAAGCCCUGACGGUACCUGAGGAAUCAGCCUCGGCUAACUCCGUGCCAGCAGCCGCGGUAAUACGGAGGAGGCAAGCGUUAUCCGGAAUUAUUGGGCGUAAAGCGUCCGCAGGGGGCACAUCAAGUCUGCUGUUAAAGGCUGGAGCUUAACUCCGGUAGAGCAGUGGAAACUGGUGUGCUACAGGGCGACAGGGGUAGAGGGAAUUCCCAGUGUAGCGGUGAAAUGCGUAGAUAUUGGGAAGAACACCAGUGGCGAAGGCGCUCUACUGGGCCGCGACUGACGCUGCGGGACGAAAGCUAGGGGAGCG